ACCAGUUUUCCUAUACAAAUAGUGGAAGCAAAUGAGCAUAUUUUCACAUAGUUUCUGCAAGAGAUCAUCAGUACUGGAGGAGUGAAAGAGAGAGAUGGGUUUUCAAGCUCGGCUGUGCUUCUUCUUCCUCCUCCUUACCUUUGCCGUAAUGUGCUUUGCUCGUGAAGCCCCUUUAGGGAGUCAAAAGAAUUUGGUCGUCGAUGACUACGACGGUCCACAUGCUAAUCCUAAGCAUGAUCCACCCCAUUCUCCUCCUAAGCUAGCGACCACCUCACUUUCGAAAAUACUCACUCAGAGAGACCAAGCUAGUCCGUGAUCCUUUGUUCGUCAAUUGAAGUGAAUAAAUACAUAAAUAAUGUGCACAAGACGUCGUUUUGCACUUUAACAAAGCUUGUGUUGUAAUCGUAUUAUUUCAGCUAAAUAAUAUUACUUUCACUGA